UCUGCACCAUCCACUUAAUUUUUUUUUACCGUCCUGGAUGAAUUGCACAGCAGUGGAAUAUUUCUUCGUGCUGUGUUGAGAGAAGUAGGAAAUAGUUUUAUAUUUAGCAGGAACGCCAAGCCGUAAACAUGGGGGAAACCAGAUUACCGCGUCAUAUGUUUUUAUGGAGUAUGGCAAUUAUUUACAUGUUUGCUUUUGCAUCCCUCUAUGUUCAGAUACCAGGUCUCUAUGGCAAUGAGGGGGUCCUGCCUGUGCGCCUGGUGGAGCCCCGUGUGGACGGCUCCAGGCCAGUGUUGGAGCAGAUACAUGCCCACCCCUCCCUGCUGUGGCUGGGGCCCCGGCUGGACCUGGACGCCCAGCAGGCAAUGGAGCUGCUCUGCCUGGCGGGGGCGCUCUUAGCCCUGGGAGCAGCCCUACUGGAGCCCCUCCGAGACAGCCUGGUGUUCUUCUGCCUCUGGGCCCUCUACCUCUCCCUCUGUCAGGUGGGUCAAGACUUUCUGCGUUUUCAGUGGGACAGUCUGCUGUUGGAGGCUGGCUUCCUGACCGUGCUCGUCGCGCCGCUCAACCUCCUGCGGUGGCGCUCGGCAUUCCGUCAGCAUGACGCCGUGACCUUCUGGCUGGUGCGCUGGCUCCUGUUCCGCCUCACCUUUGGCUCCGGGGUCGCCAAGCUGGCCAGCCACUGCCCCAGCUGGUGGGGGCUCACCGCGGUGAAACACAUGUUUGAGGCCCAAGGCAUCCCCCUGCCCUGGUCCUGGUUCAUCCAGCAGCUGCCAGACUGGUACCUGAAGCUGGGGACUGUCAGUCUGUUGGUGACCGAGAUCGCUGUGCCCCCUCUACUUCGCCCCCAUCCGCCAACUCAGACUGGCAGCCUUCUACAUUCAGGCAGUGUACCAGGUGAAGUUAAUGUUCGUGGGGAACUAUGGCUUCCUCCCCUUCCUCUCCCUGGCUCUGACUUUCUCCCUGUUGGACGACGACCAUAUCAGCUACUGGCUGGGCCACGGCAAGAAGAAGAGCGCCAAGACCUGGCACCAAACCAUAAUGUCAUUGGUGUUGCUGGCUGUAUUUGCUGCCAUCAUCUAUGGAACUAAAGUGCUCUUCACACUGGAAAUGGACUGGGAGGCCAAGACCAUGACCUCUAAAACCGCCUUCACCCAGCAGCAGUUUGGCAAUUGGUUGAAGCUUGUGACAGGACCCACUAUCUGGGUAGGAGUUCUCUCUCUCACCUGGGAGGUGGUGGCAGCCAUGCUGGGGUGUGUGUGUGUUAGAGGGUGUCUCUGGAAGCUCUGGGGUCUUGUCCAAUGGGCUGUCAUUGUCUCUGCUGCAGUCGCCGUGUUUGCUAUCAGUGUGGUGCCUUACUCGUCCAUGGAACAGGUGUACAGCAGUAAGAUCCUCCCGGAGGUGAGACAGGCCUACAGCCUAGUGGAGCGCUAUAGACUGGUCAGUGCCUACAGCCUGGACAGCAGGGUGGACGGGAGGUCAGAGGUCGUCCUCGAGGGCAGCAUGGACAAGAAUACCUGGACGGAGAUAGAGUUCAUGUACAAGCCGGGAAAUGUGGGCGUGGCCCCUCCAGUGGUGGCCCCCCACCAGCCACGGUUAGACUGGCAGAUGAGCCAGGCAGCCCAGGGACUGGCCGAACAGAGCCCCUGGUUCACAAGCCUAGUGCACUGCCUACUGCAGGGCAAUAAGGAUGUGGUGAGACUGAUCCAGACAGACUCAGCCCAAUACCCAUUCAGCCAGGCCCCCCCGGUCUACCUCCGAGCCAGCCUCUACCAGUACUGGUUCACCCAGACCGCACAGGACUGGUCUGGUCCUAAAGAGUGGUGGAGGAGAGACUAUUCAGAGGAGUUCUAUCCUGCAGUGCAGCUGGGUGACCCUACCCUAGAGGGCAUGCUCAACCAGCACGGACUCAAGGAGACGCUCCCGAUUCAGCCCAGUCCUGACUCUCCUCUGGCCCAGGCUCUGAAGCAGGUACGGGGCCACGUUCAGACUCUACCCGGCCACCUGGUGCUCUGGUCCCUCCUGGCCACUGUCGCCACCAUCUGGCUCUUCAAAACCCUGCUCUCCGGGGUCCUGGGGGGCCAAAAGGCUAAACCCACUCCGGCCGAACCCAAGGCCAAGAAGGCGAAGGCCCAGCCAGCAGUGAAAAAUGCCUCGGCCUCCAGUCUCAAAGCAGGGAGGGAGAAUUCUGAGGAGAGUAGACGGGAUGCUGACAAGAGCCCUAAGAAGAGGAAGUGAUGUGAGACUGCUGCCGUGGGACUUCCUGUUACGUUCUUGUUGUUGCCCCUUGUCUCGGGAUGGAGGGUGGAGAGAAGGGGUGUUACCUACAUGUAAAUCUCAGGUGUUUCUACAGUAACUACCAAUCCGACCAGCUCUUUCUACAGUAACUACCAAUCCGACCAGCUCUUUCUACAGUAACUACCAAUCCGACCAGCUCUGUGACUCGGAGACCACCACCGUGGCCUUGUAUUCAGUCAGUUCUCAUCACUCACUCACUCACUCACUCACUCACUCACUCACUCACUCACUCCCAUAUAUUGCACAUACACAAGCAAAAGUGUCUAUUUUCUUUGUGCCUCCUUCUGUCACCAUAUUCUCAGGUCCCCCUAUGGAUGAGUCUUCAGACAUGUCUACGGGCGAGUCCCUGGCAUCACAGUACAGUGCUGCUUUGUUAUGAGCUGUUUUUGAGCUUUGCCAUCAGUUCUUCAGGGAGCACUUUAUCUGAAUUCUGGGAAUGCAUUCAUCCAUUUUAACGGUUGUUGUCCAACAGUUUUAAUCUUGUGCUAUAUCUUUAAUAUGAUAUUCAGGCUGGGUGCAGUUAUUGUACCUCAGUGAACCCUUUCAUGGACUGCAUCAGACUUUUAUUUUAAAAUUUGAAGUUGUCAAGUGAUUCCAUGUAAUGAAAUCUAUACCCGGGCCCUCUAUCCCGACCACGAGAAACUGUAUAGCGACAUGGUCAAGAAUACUAUAUUCUGAAAGCUUUGUCCUGCUAAACCUUUUGCCUUAGAAAUCUGUGGUUUGCUGUUCAAAUGUCAAAAGCCCUUUGGUCACAUUUAUUUUUUUUAACAGCUUAAAAUGCAUAACUGCUCCUAAAGAAAUCUGUAUAUUCCACAUCUGUGUAUAUUUGAGAUGUAGUAUUACUUAAGCUUAGUGUAUUAGGUUCAAGCACGGCUGCAAAAUUACUGGGCUCUUAAGGAGAAAUUCCAAGCCCUAGGGCACUAUUCAGUCUAUCGCUGAGGCGGUACAGAUUGUGUGACUAAAAUGUAAAGAUACUUUUUACUGGUCAGUGUUUAAUUAUUUUUUAAUUUUUUAAAUCUUAGCUGUAUAUUGAAACCGAACACUUAGAUUUGACAAACUACAGAUGGAAAAAGACAAACGUUCAGUGCUCGUCAGAAACUAGACUUUCGAUCUUCAAAAUCUAGUUGAAAAGGUGUGCUUGUCAAUACCAGGGAAAACUAAGAGGUCUGCAUGUUAUGUUAAAGGUCAACAACAACAAAGGGACUGUGACUUGGAGCUUCAAACCCCGUUUUUAGAUUUAUGGGUUGAAUUAUUUGAGUGAUUUGACCUGGGCUGAUAGUUUCUAUAGGAACAGAGACCAAUGACCAACAUGUGGUGCUCUUUGUUUCUCCAUUUUAUUAAUGACAAAUGUAUAGUGUGAAAGAGCCAGUGGCUCUCUGGUAAGGAUCUCACCAAUUUAAGUAUGGGGGUUAUAGGGUCAGCUCCUGAGUGGCUGUGUUGACACUCAGUAAUGGUUGGAAGGCUGGUAGAUGUCAUGGGGGGUGAAUCCCUGGGGUCCCCUCCUACGAAGAAACUCCUGGGGGAAAGGUGGGCACUUCGUUUUUACAUUUAUUUUCAUUUAUAGACGACGUGCCCACUUACAGGAGUAUCUCCAUAAGCACUGCUCUUUGCUGUCUGUAUUACAGAGGGAACCACAAGAAUUUGCCCCCCCUCUGCUUAUGUUAUCACACCCUUCUGCCAAUGUCACCUUCAUGUGGCAGCCACUCCAAGUGGCCUUGACUCACUGACCUGCAGAGUCCUCAGUAGGCAACCGUGCCCCAGAGUUCAAACCUGUAAACCCAUGCUUAUGGGGCGAGAUCCUAAUGCCAGAGCCCUUCACCCUUAUGCUUUGCUUCAUAAUUUGACAUUGAGAGUUCGGUUGAUAUGUAUAUUUGGCUGUGGUUAAGUUUUCUUGAGUGUGUUGGUUGGAUGAGUGGAAAGAUUUGCUCAAGCAUUGCUUCAAAUGUUUUAUCAACAAAGACGGUUGCAUCUGGUUAUCUUCGUUUCAUACUAUUAAAGAUUUGAAAUUGUGGGUAAACCUUUUGA